GUGCCCGUAGCUCAGUCGGUAGAGCACGAGACUUUUAAUCUUGGGGUCGUGGGUUCGAAUCCCACCGGGCACACCA
rnacentral:tRNA from 1 species